rnacentral:sRNA from 1 species
GCUGGGCAUGGUGGUUCAUGCCUGUAAUCCUGGCUACUUGGAAGCUAAGGCAGCAGGACUGCAAGUUCAGGGCCAGCCUCAG